AACGAACGCUGGCGGCAUGCCUAACACACGCAAGUCGAACGAGAUCUUCGGGUCUAGUGGCGCACGGGUGCGUAACGCGUGGGAAUCUGCCCUUUGGUUCGGAAUAACAGUUGGAAACGACUGCUAAUACCGGAUGAUGACGAAAGUCCAAAGAUUUAUCGCCAGAGGAUGAGCCCGCGUAGGAUUAGCUAGUUGGUGGGGUAAAGGCGCACCAAGGCGACGAUCCUUAGCUGGUCUGAGAGGAUGAUCAGCCACACUGGGACUGAGACACGGCCCAGACUCCUACGGGAGGCAGCAGUGGGGAAUAUUGGACAAUGGGCGAAAGCCUGAUCCAGCAAUGCCGCGUGAGUGAUGAAGGCCUUAGGGUUGUAAAGCUCUUUUACCCGGGAUGAUAAUGACAGUACCGGGAGAAUAAGCUCCGGCUAACUCCGUGCCAGCCGCCGCGGUAA
rnacentral:rRNA from 1 species